UACGAAGGGGGCUAGCGUUGCUCGGAAUCACUGGGCGUAAAGCGCACGUAGGCGGCUUUCUAAGUCAGGGGUGAAAUCCUGGAGCUCAACUCCAGAACUGCCCUUGAUACUGGAAAGCUCGAGUCCGGGAGAGGUGAGUGGAACUGCGAGUGUAGAGGUGAAAUUCGUAGAUAUUCGCAAGAACACCAGUGGCGAAGGCGGCUCACUGGACUGGUAUUGACGCUGAGGUGCGAAAGCGUGGGGAGCAAACAGG
rnacentral:rRNA from 1 species